rnacentral:rRNA from 1 species
GAUCAUGGCUCAGGAUAAACGCUAGCUACAGGCUUAACACAUGCAAGUCGAGGGGCAGCAUGGUCUUAGCUUGCUAAGACUGAUGGCGACCGGCGCACGGGUGAGUAACACGUAUCCAACCUGCCGUCUACUCUUGGAAAGCCUUCUGAAAGGAAGAUUAAUACAAGAUGGCAUCAUGAGUCCGCAUGUUCAUAUGAUUAAAGGUAUUCCGGUAGACGAUGGGG